rnacentral:rRNA from 1 species
GCAAGUCGGACGGUAACGGGUACUUCGGUAUGCUGACGAGUGGCGGACGGGUGAGUAACGCGUAGGAAUCUACCUAUAAGAGGGGGAUACCGACUGGAAACGGUCGUUAAUACCGCAUGAUACCUUAGGGUUAAAGGUGGCCUUUGUGCUGCCGCUUAUGGAUGAGCCUGCGUUGGAUUAGUUUGUUGGUGGGGUAAAGGCCUACCAAGACUGCGAUCCAUAGCUGAUUUGAGAGGAUGAUC